AAUAAAUAGGUAUUUCGAGCCGUUUUUUCUAAAGGGUAAUCCCAUGAAAUGCGGCCAAUGGGUAAUUGGGGAAACCUGCUUGCCUCCCGCAUUGGAAAGAAAUACAUUUUAUAAUAGA
rnacentral:ncRNA from 2 species